rnacentral:rRNA from 1 species
UACGUAGGGUGCAAGCGUUGUCCGGAAUUAUUGGGCGUAAAGAGCUCGUAGGCGGUUUGUCGCGUCUGCUGUGGAAACUCAGGGCUUAACCCUGAGCCUGCAGUGGGUACGGGCAGACUAGAGUGUGGUAGGGGAGAUCGGAAUUCCUGGUGUAGCGGUGGAAUGCGCAGAUAUCAGGAGGAACACCGGUGGCGAAGGCGGAUCUCUGGGAAACAACUGACGCUGAGGAACGAAAGCGUGGGUAGCAAACAGGA